rnacentral:rRNA from 1 species
CGGGAGGCAGCAGUGAGGAAUAUUGGUCAAUGGUCGGCAGACUGAACCAGCCAAGUCGCGUGAGGGAAGACGGCCCUACGGGUUGUAAACCUCUUUUGUCGGAGAGUAAAGUACGCUACGCGUAGCGUAUUGCAAGUAUCCGAAGAAAAAGCAUCGGCUAACUCCGUGCCAGCAGCCGCGGUAAUACGGAGGAUGCGAGCGUUAUCCGGAUUUAUUGGGUUUAAAGGGUGCGUAGGCGGCACGCCAAGUCAGCGGUGAAAUUUCCGGGCUCAACCCGGAGUGUGCCGUUGAAACUGGCGAGCUAGAGUGCACAAGAGGCAGGCGGAAUGCGUGGUGUAGCGGUGAAAUGCAUAGAUAUCACGCAGAACCCCGAUUGCGAAGGCAGCCUGCUAGGGUGCGACAGACGCUGAGGCACGAAAGCGUGGGUAUCGAACAGGAUUAGAUACCCUGGUAGUCCACGCAGUAAACGAUGAAUACUAACUGUUUGCGAUACAAUGUAAGCGGUA